ensembl:misc_RNA Metazoa_SRP Metazoan signal recognition particle RNA
GCCGGGUGCGGUGGCGCGUGCCUGUAAUCCAAGCUACUGGGAGGCUGAGGCUGGCGGAUCGUUUGAGCUCAGGGGUUCUGGGCUGCAGUGGGCUAUGCCGAUCGGGUGUCCGCACUAAGUUCGGUAUCGAUAUGGUGCUCCUGAGGGAGCUCGGGACCACCAGGUCGCCUAAGGAGGGGUGAACCGGCCCAGGUCGGGAACGGAGCAGGUUAAAGCCCCCGUGCCGAUCAGUAGUGGGAUCGCGCCUGUGAAUAGACACUGCCGUGCAGCCUGAGUAAUACAGCGGGACUCAGUCUUUU